rnacentral:lncRNA from 1 species
AGAGAAAAUACAAUUUCAGCAAUGCGUAAACUGAAAGAAGAGUUAAAUAUAUAGGGACAAUCCAAACCCUAGAAGUAGAGUUGUCGAUUAAUAGAAUGUUCAAUGGUUUCCUUAUCUUGAUCUUUUUAAGUUUAACAAAAAUUUCAACUCCCAAUAGGGCUUUCAAAUAAAACUCCAACUAGAAUUUGCUAAUAGGCUUCGAAUAGUAUUCCAAAAGCAUUACAAAUAGAAAUCUCCUUAAUGUACGCUUUAAUUAGCUCUCAUUUCUCUUCAUCGACGAAUUUGAGUCACACCAAAAUUCUAAGAAUUUCCAGGUUAACAAAAAUUUUGGUGCAACGAACGAAACUCCAAAAUUUCUUCACCUGAAAAAAUAAAUUUGACCGCAACGAAAUAAACUAAACUUUUCAACUAGAACCAAACUUCUUCACCUCACGAAAAUUACUCUUACUCUUCCACAGUAUCCGCAAAUGAUACCCGAACCGAAAUAUCGGGUUCCCAAAAUUCCCACAAGGAAUUCAAAAAUUAACAAACGGUGUAGAAGCACACCCUGUAAUAGAAUCAACUUAAAUACUUUAAUUGAAGGCCCUUGAUAAUCUCAACACCUUCAAAACCUCAAAAAGCAUACGCAACUAAAUCAGCAUCAUCGUACCUAUCCUCAUUAAGCCCUUCCUUGGCAGUAGAACAAAGUGACACUGCAAAUAAUGGUGGCAAAGUGGAGUUACCCAUAUCAUCCUAACAGAGUAGUGUUCUUCAAUAAUGACCCAGAGCCAACUCCCUAAGGUACAGUACCAAAUUGUAUAUCCACCAUGGUACUAAACAUGUGGUGAUGAUUCUUUACCAAUUCUGCACGACUUUGCAAGAUGUAUAACCGGGAGCUCCUCC